rnacentral:lncRNA from 1 species
GUGGCAACCAGCAACCCCAGGCGCACAGCUCUCCUCAGGGAGCUGAGGCCCGCAGCCUCCCUGUGGAAGAAAGGAAAGCCGGCUCCCCAGGCCGAGUAGCUGUCUGCGGUGCAAUGCCUCCCCGUCCAGAUGCCUGGUUCCCCUUUCUGCGCAGACACCUGCGCUUUAGAGAGCUACGCUGUUUUCCUGAGUACGGCCUAUUGCCUUUUGCCUUGACCUAGACGGCCGCAAAGCGUUGGUGCGCUGUGCCUGCUGCGUGCUGCUGUGUUGGCCCGACACCUGUCCUGCCUCCUGCGACUGGCAGGGCUUGGCCACACCGCUUACCUCCCUUCUUCCCUCAGUCCUCACAUAACGUGAGGCCAUGGAAACGAUAGGGCUAGAGUGCGGAGGAACAUCAGGGCCAUGUUAAAAAACAAGGCCAGGAUUAUGUUAAGUAGUGUUGGAGCAGGCCUGCCCCCAUCCGAGGGCAGAAGCGUGGCACCUCGCCACCAGCGCUGGCUGAAGGCAAGUGCUAGAGAAAAGGUUGCUUUAUAUAUUAUCCUGCUCAGCAGUGCCUGUGCCAGCAACUGGAAUUUGCUGGUAUUCUUCCAG